UCGUGGGAAACGGAUCUGUCAGGAAACAAAACAUCUCAGUGGAGUCAACAGGACAACACGGGCAGCUGGACUUAUGGGUCCAACUUCACCUUCACACCCUCCCUAAAUGAUCGGGGCAAACCGCUCACCUGUCGGGUCCGGUACCCUCAUAUACAGAAGCAAGUUGAGACCACCAUCUGUCCUGAUGCAACCCAUCUUCAGUUUGGGUGGCCUUCGGUCACCCUCGUCCUGGUAAUCCUGUGCUUGAUCAAGGUUUUGUUUUGUUCCCUGUUCUUCUUCUCGGUCAUUUGGUGUUCGAACCGGAGGAAGGCUCCGUCGGGAAGGAAGUAGCAGAUGAUGAAGGUGGUGCAAACCGGAUGGAUCGACCACAAUUCCGUUGCUCGGGGAAGGCAAGAGCACCUCCUUACUCCUCUGCACUGCUGC